rnacentral:lncRNA from 1 species
UCUCAUAAGAAUAACCAUAAGAAUAAAUCUCCUUGAUAUCAAAUAGAAAAGGCCAAAGUAAGUCCAGUAAACAGGUUGAAGUAAUAAUAUUGUAUGUUUAGUUGUAGAGUAAUGAUAUAGCCACAAACUCUUGUACAAACUGAUGUGGCAUGAUAAGAUUGGUUGAAUUAAAUAUCACUUGGCCCACAUGAUUUGUUUUUAUUAUUUUAUAUUUUCAUUCAACUAAUGAAUUAAUGCCACGUCAGUUUGUACAAGAUAAGUUUGUACAAGAGUUUGUGGUUGUAUCAUCACUCUUAGUUGUAAGGUGCUCUUUACUACUUUGUAUGAACAAGAAAAAGGUCUAAGAAGACCAACCAUGAGCUUUAAUGAGCCCAUCUUGGCUUUAUACAUAUUAAUAACGAUUAUAGCAUACUCAAAAUUAAUUUUAAACGGUGGUCACAAUUAAUAGCUAUACCUUCCAAGAUGAUUCUAGUUGAUGCUGUAACUUCAGCAUUAACAUUGUCUUUAAGCCAUUUCCUCAGUUUAGUAUGGACCUGUCACAUAUAUUUAAAACAUGGUCUGCAAAAAAUGAUUACCAAAAAAUUGACAAAAUAUCAACUUUAAAAGCACAACAAAGAGCAAUUAUGUUAGCAAGUUUUGCCGGCAAAAGGAGAUAAAGUAAUAACUAAAAUAGACUGAAAACGUCUAUUUACUUGUAUUCAAUAUAUAAACACAAAGUACAAAAAUAUUUUUGUGCAUGUCCCCAUCUGAAAAGGUAAUGACACAAGCAAAAUUAUAUGUGGGUUUGUGUGAGUAUUUAGGUAGAUGUAUAAACGAGAGUAUCCACAAGCUUAGGAGUCUGAAGAUGGAUUGAGGAACAAAUAUAAUUCUUUGCUAUAUGUAUGAAUCUACAAGGUGAAAACAUAAUGAUAACUAUCAGAAACAGCUCUACUGUAUUAUUACUUGUUUCAAAACUACUAGAGCUAUAGACAAAUUCUAAAAUGCCCUGCGUAGGGUAAAAUGCACAUGGUGAAACAUAUAGAAAUGUGUUGACAAAAAAACUAAGCAAGCUCAUAACCAAUUCCGGUAAAAAAAAAGGCUUAUAAUCAAUCCAACAAUAUUUAUAUUGAUAGCAAGCCAAUAAGGGUAGUCAUAUCAUUCUUAUAAGCAUGAAGAUCAUUGUCAUUAAAACAUUAAAUUAAAUAAGACAUAAACCCAAACUUACUUCCUGAACCUGAGCAAGGUUUGCAACCUUCCCAA